UUUUGGACAAUGGGCGCAAGCCUGAUCCAGCCACGCCGCGUGAGUGAAGAAGGCCUUCGGGUUGUAAAGCUCUUUCGGCGGGGACGAAACGGUUCGUGCUAAUACCACGGACUACUGACGGUACCCGCAGAAGAAGCACCGGCUAACUACGUGCCAGCAGCCGCGGUAAUACGUAGGGUGCAGGCGUUAAUCGGAAUUACUGGGCGUAAAGCGUGCGCAGGCGGUUUGUUAAGACAGGUGUGAAAUCCCCGGGCUUAACCUGGGAAUUGCGCUUGUAACUGGCAGACUGGAGUGUGGCAGAGGGGGGUGGAAUUCCAAGUGUAGCAGUGAAAUGCGUAGAUAUUUGGAGGAACACCGAUGGCGAAGGCAGCCCCCUGGGCUAACACUGACGCUCAUGCACGAAA
rnacentral:rRNA from 1 species